UAAUUUUUUCGACUUUUUCGAGAAUUAUGAGUUCCUGUGAACUCUGGUGUAAAACCAACAAAUUUUUAUUUUUAUUAAGUGAAACAUAAUAGACAUCAAAAUCUUAAGUGAAAGCAUUUUUGCUCAUGUUGUCUACAGCUGGGUUUGAACUAGCAACCUCUGAUGAACUAGCAACCUCUGAUUUAUAAAUCCAGCGCCUAUCCAACUCGACCAACGAGACGAGCAAAAAUGAAGUCAUUUCAGAUGUUUAUGUGCCACAUUUAACGUUAACCACUAAUGCCAA